ACUACAACUCCCAGCAGCCUUUGCGCGGGGGCAGCACAACAUGGCGGCGCCCUUUGUCCUGUUUGGAGAGCGGGAGGCGGGUGGAAAAGGAUCCCCAGGGACUGCGGCUUUCCUGCGCCGCUUGCGGUGCGGACUCUCGAGCUGUCCCUGGUCAUUCUUGUGUUUGCGGGGAGUAAAAAUGGCCUUGGGGAUUUGCUUCUGGGAACAGAGAUCCAUUUCCUGAUGGUAGUCCUGGAAAUGGAACUGAGUCUCUGUGAGAGCUGAGGAUGGUACAGAAGGAGUGCUGGGAUUGGGGAGUCCACAUCUCUCAGUGAUGCCCUGAAGUGCUCUGGCUUAUGGAAUAUGAUCCAUGGGUAACAGCUUCCGUGCCUAUCUGUGCAGGUGGGUCAGUCACUAAGUGUCCCAUGGGAUCCCUGAGGCUGGAAAAGCCCUUUGAGACCAUAGGGUCCAAGUGGUGCCCCAGCCUGCCAAGGCUACCCCCAGCCCAUGUCCCCAAGGCCUGCAUGAAGAGCCAUCCCCUGAGGGACAGGAACUGGGGUGAGGGCUGCAGGCACUGGCAGUGGGGCUGGGGGUUCCCUGAGAGCCUCCAACACACAUUCCCUUCUCCCUGGCCUUCCCAGGAAGGAUGACUGGUCUGGAGAGCACAGUGUGCAAGGGGCAGCAGUCCAAAGCCACACUCAGGACAUUUCCCUGCAGUUCAGGGAACCUCCGAUUGCAGCACCUUGAAGUCUUGUGUGCUCAGCAGCUUUUCCUUUGGACUUUUUAUGCCCUAGGAAACAGAUUUGAGGACCUCCCAGUGAAUUCAGUGAAUUGUCCCAGCCAGAGAGCUUUUUGCUGACCUAAAUUGAGCUUUUAAGGCCCAGACCUCCCGGAUUUGCAGUGUUUUACCAUAACAGUGAGCCAGGAUGGAUUCUCCUGUUCAGUGGUACAGCUGCCCACAAGGGCUGGGUCAGCUGGGCCAACACUUGCUGUUGUGUGUUUUCCUCUCUCAGAGGAGGCAAAACCACUUGGCUUUCCCUUGUAGGACCAACUGAGGCUGUGGAUUGCAAUGCAGAGCAUCUGCAGGCUCCUGGUGCUUGGGGCUGUGGUGUUUGGAGUGCAGGAAACAUCCCUGACUGUCUGACCUGGGUGUGGAUGUGCAUUUCCAGGACUAACUCAGUCUGGGUAUCCCACCCACCCAAAGCUUCUGAUGAAGCUCCAGGACCAGCAAGUCCCUGAAACUUGAGGGAGAGAAGAAAUGAGUUCAAGUAGAAAGAUCAGAUGAUGGAAUUGUCACUCUGGAUGUGUGCUGAGCUCUGGUGGCAGGGGACUGUCAGGCCCUAAUGGCUGCACAUUCUUGUUCUUUUCACUGGGAAAUUGGGAGUAAUUAUUAAUUAGAUUGCAGAAGUAUUUUCUGAAA